rnacentral:lncRNA from 1 species
GCCUAUCACAUUCCUUCUUCUCCAUGGUUACAUUGACAGCCUAACUCUGAGCUUUCUCCCUUAAGUUCCUGCAUUACAAGUUUCUGGCUUUGUAAAACUCUGCUGAGAUGACUUUGCUUCCUUACAGAGUGGCACGGCUGUCGUGUGACAUCCUUUAUAAGAAAAGCAUAUACUAGUCAGCAGAAGGAGUCUUGCCAUAAUUAAUUAAUGCCUGAGAGAACUUUGAAGCUGAAACAAUUUAAUAGACUUCAUUAUUGAAGGUUCGCGGUCCCCCUCGCACCCACGAAUAACUGAAUCCCGCGGGACGGGAUACCUUUCCUACCAACCUCUUGAACAACGGAAGUACAGGACUGACGACCUUGAGCUUGUGGAGGUGAAGACUACAGCGGAAAAACCCAUAAAACAGUAAACUAUUCCUUCAGGAUUUUCUUGUUCUGCACAGGUAAGGCUCCUGCCUUGUCUUAAGCAUAACUGAUCUUCAGCUGAAGAGGAGGUCAUAGCUAGGCUUAGCUUUUCCUUAGCUUUCUCUUUGCCCAUU